GAUGAACGCUAGCGGCAGGCUUAACACAUGCAAGUCGAGGGGCAGCAUAAUGGAUAGCAAUAUCUAUGGUGGCGACCGGCGCACGGGUGCGUAACGCGUAUGCAACCUACCUUUAACAGGGGGAUAACACUGAGAAAUUGGUACUAAUACCCCAUAAUAUCAUAGAAGGCAUCUUUAUGGUUGAAAAUUCCGAUGGUUAGAGAUGGGCAUGCGUUGUAUUAGCUGGUUGGUGAGGUAACGGCUCACCAAGGCAACGAUACAUAGGGGGACUGAGAGGUUAACCCCCCACAUUGGUACUGAGACACGGACCAAACUCCUACGGGAGGCAGCAGUGAGGAAUAUUGGUCAAUGGGACGCAAGUCUGAACCAGCCAUGCCGCGUGCAGGAAGACGGCUCUAUGAGUUGUAAACUGCUUUUGUACGAGGGUAAACGCUCUUACGUGUAAGAGCCUGAAAGUAUCGUACGAAUAAGGAU
rnacentral:rRNA from 1 species